UGUGUUUCUCCCCUGCAGGAGUGCAUGGCCCUCUCAUAAGUGUGUUUGGCCUCGUCGGGCUGGCUCUGGUGAUCCUGACCUCUGUGUUUCUGUGGAGAAGGACAAACAAAGGUGAAGAGGUGUGUGAAGAUGAGGGUGAGUGUGAGGAAGAUGAGGAAGAUGAGUGUGCAGGGGGGCUUCCGUCCCGCAGAGAGAGUGUGACGUACUCAGUGGUGCAUUUAAAGAGGAAACCCACUGAGAAUCUGAACAAAGCUGUAGCAUCUACAGAUCCUCUGACUGCUGUAGGUGACACUGAUGAUGAAUAUCAAACAGUCAUAUACGCCGGAUUGAAAAUGAAUCAAUGAACAAUCAAUCAAUAAUAUUAAAGGGGGACUCAUCUGCUCUAUUGUGGACAGUUUGUCACAUAAGUGCCAGGGGUUUCACAACCUCAUAGUUUUACAUGUCAGACAUCCUCAGGAGUAUGGUUAGUUUGGCUAUAGGUUAUACAUAGUAAACAAUAAUUUGCACUUUUUUUUAAACUGUUUAUGCUGUUUAUACUGGCCUUUUUUAAUGGACUCCAUAUAAAUGUGACGUGAAAUUAUGCUAAUCUUGGUUGGUUGAGAAAAUAACUGCAAUGAGAGGCGGAUAGAGGAAAUUAUUAUUUUUUAGUAAUUUAGGUGGCUUCAAAAAGAACUAGUCAGUUUGACCUGUAAAUUCAACACAUUGUUUAACCCUACACACAACAACCUACUGCCUGAACAUACCGACAAUUCCGAUGCAACCUUCAUAGUAUGAAGUUCAUAGCCAUGUUUCAAAAACGUAACUGAAUCUAACCGCAUACGUAUAACAACGGGGAGCCUUCUUCCGGUAACUUACUGAGGUAGGCUACUCGCCAUUUGUGAAAAAAUAUGGGGGGGUUGAAACGUUUUUAUUCAUGAAAAGAAAUCACAAACAACAGAAGGCAUGUAGAGUAGACUAUAAAGCUAGUCGGCUGUUGCAGCGUCUUGAGACAAUUUAAUUGUUUUGGCGCUAUAUACAUUGAAUGUAAUUUUGUGUUUAUGUGUUUACUACGAGAUGGUAUUCUGCAUUAGAGUUGGUUGAACUUAAUCUUUUUUAGUUUGUGUAUUUUUGUGUUGUUAUAUGUUGUCCCUCGUGGCCCCAAAUGUCGUUGUAUGAAAAGUUAUACACUGACAAUAAAUGCUUUCCAUUGUAACUGACUGAUCAGAAGAAUGCUUUAUUUUCGCCCUAACCAGUUUAACCAAGUUUCUCGCUAAACAGCAACUUGAAUAAAUCAAGUUUAAAGAUUUGGUUACAGCAGAUGUCAGACAUUCCAACCAUUAACUUUAAACACGUGGUGCAGUUACACAUAUUUUACUUCGUUUGAGUCAUCCUGGGAGUUCCACUCAGCCUGGUAGUCGUCCUCCAUCCUAACAACACUGGCUCCUGUAGUUGCAUUUUCAGUUCUCGCAUUUUGACUAGCUGUAGCCAAGGAAACCAGGGUCAUCAUGGAGC